rnacentral:rRNA from 1 species
UACGUAGGGCGCAAGCGUUGUCCGGAAUUAUUGGGCGUAAAGAGCUCGUAGGCGGUUUGUCGCGUCUGCUGUGAAAUCUGGGGGCUCAACCCCCAGCCUGCAGUGGGUACGGGCAGACUAGAGUGCGGUAGGGGAGAUUGGAAUUCCUGGUGUAGCGGUGGAAUGCGCAGAUAUCAGGAGGAACACCGGUGGCGAAGGCGGAUCUCUGGGCCGAUACUGACGCUGAGGAGCGAAAGCGUGGGGAGCGAACAGG